rnacentral:rRNA from 1 species
AUGGAGGCCUCGCCGCCGCCGCCGAGCUCGCUGCGGCGCAGACUGCGGGCCACGGUGUGCUGCUGCUUCGGCUACGGCGGCCGGGCGCGGUGGGGCGGGCGGGACAGCCGCGGCGUCGGCAGGUACGACCCGCUCAGCUACGCGCUCAACUUCGACGAGGGCCCCGACGACAGCGACGACGACGUCAACUACGACGACUUCAGCGACGGCGGCCUCCUCUACCGUAGCUUCCCUUCGCCGCCGCCGCCGCCUCAGCCGGCCCGGGCGCGGGCGUCGUCGAUACCGGCGCCGCGGCCGGCCGUCGCGGCCGCGUAG